CACGUAGGGUGCGAGCGUUGUCCGGAAUUAUUGGGCGUAAAGAGCUCGUAGGCGGCUUGUCGCGUCGACUGUGAAAACCCGGGGCUCAACCCCGGGCCUGCAGCCGAUACGGGCAGACUAGAGUUCGGCAGGGGAGACUGGAAUUCCUGGUGUAGCGGUGAAAUGCGCAGAUAUCAGGAGGAACACCGGUGGCGAAGGCGGGUCUCUGGGCCGAUACUGACGCUGAGGAGCGAAAGCGUGGGGAGCGAACAGG
rnacentral:rRNA from 1 species